rnacentral:rRNA from 1 species
AGCCAUAUUAAUUAGGGUUGGUAAAUUUCGUGCCAGCCACCGCGGCCAUACGAUUAACCCAAGUUAAUAAGCACACGGCGUAAAGCGUGUUAAAGCACUGUACUAAAUAAAGUUAAAUUCCAAUUAAGCUGUAAAAAGCCAUAAUUGCAACAAAAAUAAACAACGAAGGUAACCUUAUAGCCGCUGAAACACGAUAGCUAGGACCCAAACUGGGAUUAGAUACCCCACUAUGCCUAGCCCUAAACACAAAUAGUUGUGUAAAC